AGAGUUUGAUCAUGGCUCAGAUUGAACGCUGGCGGAAUGCUUUACACAUGCAAGUCGAACGGCAGCACGGGGGCAACCCUGGUGGCGAGUGGCGAACGGGUGAGUAAUACAUCGGAACGUGCCCAGUCGUGGGGGAUAACGUAGCGAAAGCUACGCUAAUACCGCAUACGAACUCUGGUUGAAAGCGGGGGAUCGCAAGACCUCGCGCGAUUGGAGCGGCCGAUGGCAGAUUAGGUAGUUGGUGGGGUAAAGGCUCACCAAGCCGACGAUCUGUAGCUGGUCUGAGAGGACGACCAGCCACACUGGGACUGAGACACGGCCCAGACUCCUACGGGAGGCAGCAGUGGGGAAUUUUGGACAAUGGGCGCAAGCCUGAUCCAGCCAUUCCGCGUGCAGGAUGAAGGCCCUCGGGUUGUAAACUGCUUUUGUACGGAACGAAAAGGCUCUGGUUAAUACCUGGGGCUCAUGACGGUACCGUAAGAAUAAGCACCGGCUAACUACGUGCCAGCAGCCGCGGUAAUACGUAGGGCGCAAGCGUUAAUCGGAAUUACUGGGCGUAAAGCGUGCGCAGGCGGUGAUGUAAGACAGGUGUGAAAUCCCCGGGCUUAACCUGGGAACUGCAUUUGUGACUGCAUCGCUGGAGUGCGGCAGAGGGGGAUGGAAUUCCGCGUGUAGCAGUGAAAUGCGUAGAUAUGCGGAGGAACACCGAUGGCGAAGGCAAUCCCCUGGGCCUGCACUGACGCUCAUGCACGAAAGCGUGGGGAGCAAACAGGAUUAGAUACCCUGGUAGUCCACGCCCUAAACGAUGUCAACUGGUUGUUGGGUCUUCACUGACUCAGUAACGAAGCUAACGCGUGAAGUUGACCGCCU
rnacentral:rRNA from 1 species